rnacentral:rRNA from 1 species
GUGGGGAAUAUUGCGCAAUGGCCGAAAGGCUGACGCAGCGACGCCGCGUGUGGGAGGACGCCCUUCGGGGUGUAAACCACUGUCAGGGGGGAAGAACUUCGCAGGCGUGAAUAGCGCCUGCGGUUGACGGUACCCCCAGAGGAAGCGCCGGCUAACUCCGUGCCAGCAGCCGCGGUAAGACGGAGGGCGCAAGCGUUGUUCGGAAUUACUGGGCGUAAAGGGCAGGCAGGCGGUCUGUUAAGUCUUCUGUGAAAAUCCGGGGCUCAACCCCGUGAAAUGCUGGAGAAACUGGCAGACUGGAGUCUGGUAGAGGCUAGCGGAAUUCCUGGUGUAGCGGUGGAAUGCGUAGAUAUCAGGAAGAACACCUGUGGCGAAGGCGGCUAGCUGGGCCAGUUCUGACGCUGAACUGCGAAAGCGUGGGGAGCAAACAGG